CUCUCUCUCUCUCUCUCUCUCUCUCUCUCUCUCUCUCUCUCUCUUUCUCACUCUCUCUUUCUUGAACGCACAAACAAAUAAUCUUGUACUCGACACGCAGAGUCUGGCUCACAACUGCACUUCAACCUCCAGACGGCUGUUCCACUCAAGCGAUGAAAGGGUCCGUUUCACCGCUUGCGUUCCCUAACUUCAAGCGAGACUGACAUUUCUGUAAAUGUCGAUGGUGUUUUGUCUGGACCGAACCGCCCUUGAAGACUGUUGAUAGGCUACGUCUCGAUGGCAUGUAUAAUAACCUGCUACGAACGGAGUGGAGACUAAAAACGGUGAGGCUCAGUCAGCAUCUAGGCUCCACCCCCUGCCCUGGCAUGGAAGGAAAUGAUCAUCCAUUUAGAAGGUUGAAGUUGAUGAGUUCGACCAGUCUGAGUGACCUGGGGGA